UCCCGGGCGAGUUGGAGAGCCCGAACGGCAUCACCAAGUAUUCAAAAUGCCCUCUAGGGGUAUUAAAGGCGGUUUUCCAUUCAUCCCCCUUCCUGAUGCGGACCAAAUGAUAAGCAUUACGUAAAUCCAAUUUUGUGAAUAUAGAUGCUCCCUGCAACCUCUCGAAAGCUGAAGACAUGAGUGGUAAAGGAUAGGUGUUCUUUAUCGUGAUAAACCAGACAAGACUCAUGACAACUUUCACUCCACAAUGUGACUGUGUUGGAACCCCAUUCCACUCGUGGAUUAUGUUUAGUUAACCAGGGGUGACCUAACACAAUGGGAGCAACAGGGGAGUCCAUGAGAAAAAAGGAUAUGGUUUUGCGAUGAUUUCCAGAAGGCGUGACAUUCGUGAGAGUGAUUCUUCCACCGCAGUUUCACCGGAAGGAGGAUCGAUGAUGUUGUUGAGGACUUCCCAGCGGAGAUCCCACCCAAUAGUAGCCUCAAGUUUACUACCGGGCUGGCUCUUUUACCGGGCGUGAGUAGAUGUUGUGUUCAGAGCCUCCACAGUAUAAACAUAGUCCUUGGGAUCUUUGCCGUUCCCUCUCCCUCCGGGACAGCCGAGCUCUAUCCACCUGCAUGGGC